CUACCUUUGUAGUGAAGACAUAAUUAUAUAAAUUGAAUUCUAUGGCAAACGCAAAGUAGAAUUAGCAGCAGAACAAAAUGGAAAACGCUCGUGGACAAAGCGAUUGUUACUUGAUAAUAAACUUCUGUGCUCAAAAAUCAGGGAGGAAGCAGAUGAGUUGUAUCGAACAUUGGAGGAGAAUGAAGAUAAGUCACGUACUGCCUCAGAGAUGGCAGUUGUCCUCUAUCAUUCCAUGGUUCUUUUGGCAAAUAAAGAUGUGAAAAUAGAAGAUGUUAUGCAAGUUCUUCGGCAGAGAUUUUCUCAGUCAGGUGUCAAGAAAAACAGAGGUCGAAUAUCUGAAGGCUAGGUAUGGGCUGCAUAGGAUGCUCAGUCUGUACAUAUUUACCUUCAUAUUGCAGCUUCCAUUACCAUCGUAAUGGGUAAUUACGAUAUAUGCAUGAUCACCUGUAGUCCAUUUUGAGUGCACUGGGACUCGCAUUAUCCUAGCUUUUGCAUACCCCCAGUCUAUCUGUUUUACUCUGGGAACUGGUUUUGCUCUGGAUGACUUUGUUUAAGCUUUUUGGUAAAGACACAAAUUUGUUGCAACUAUUUUCCUUGGAAAUAGAUCUGAAUUAUUGUUUUGGGAAUGUAUUCAGAUUGCUGUGAACUUAUUUGUAUUUGAUUGUGAAUGAAAAGAAUUUUAAAUCAGGAAAUAUUAGCUACCACCCAGCUUUUGUAGCAGCAUUGUGAUUAAACAAUGUUGAAAAAGAAGUCUGUACAAGUACUGACUACUUCAUUGAUGGGCAUUUGCUCCAUUGGUUUUGAAAGUACUUUGACUGCAUAAGUGGAGUGUAGCAUUACUGAUUUAUAUAUUUAAGGGAAAAGAACAAGAGAGAAGAAAAAAAAGGGGGGAGGGGGGGUGGGGGGGAGAGUUUCGGCUCAUGAACCAAAUAUAAUUGAUGAAUUCAAUAAGAAAGAAAUCACCAGAAGACUAGUGUCGUGAUUUCAUUUUAUUCAAUGCUCAUAAGCAUGAUUUAUUACAAUUAUCGUCAUUGUAUAUAUUUAUUCUGAUUCCCGGCUUUGGUUGAUGCGAACAGUUCUAACUGAACGCUAUAGGAUUAAGUUCUUCCCGGUGUAUCGGGGAUGCUGGUGCAACUAGUCAAGCAUGUAUUGCCUUUUGUGCCACAAGAAAGCAGGCAUUGUAUUAUACCCAGGAAGUCCUUUCCCUUUGACAAACAGUCUGUGAGGCACUUGAACACAUCUUGCUCACAUAAAUUACUGCAUAGCGCCAGCGAAUUCGGGUUCGGGGCUUCUUCAUGGGCCACUCCCAAGUACACUAGCAAUAGCACUGCAAGAACAGGCACCAUCGACUUGGCCGUUAAA